AGCAGCCGCGGUAAUUCCAGCUCCAAUAGCGUAUAUUAAAGUUGUUGCAGUUAAAAAGCUCGUAGUUGAAUUUCGGGGUCAGUAGGUUGGUCGUGCCAAUGGUAUGUACUGGCUUUACUGAUUCCUCCUUCUUGAAGAACUGUAAUGCCAUUAAUUUGGUGUUGCAGGGAAUCAGGACUGUUACUUUGAAAAAAAUUAGAGUGUUUAAAGCAGGCUUACGCUUGAAUACAUUAGCAUGGAAUAAUGAAAUAGGACGUUGAUCUUAUUUUGUUGGUUUCUAGGAUUGACGUAAUGAUUAAUAGGGAUAGUUGGGGGCAUUAGUAUUCAAUUGUCAGAGGUGAAAUUCUUGGAUUUAUUGAAGACUAACUACUGCGAAAGCAUUUGCCAAGGAUGUUUUCAUUAAUCAAGAACGAAAGUUAGGGGAUCGAAGACGAUCAGAUACCGUCGUAGUCUUAACCAUAAACUAUGCCAACUAGGGAUCGGAUGAUGUUAAUUUUUUAAUGACUCAUUCGGCGCCUUA
rnacentral:rRNA from 1 species